CGUCUCCUGCGGUGUUCGCCAAGGGCCGGGAUCCCUCGACCCUAAUUACUAACCCAGGGGCGUGGUCCUGCUGGCGCAAUUGUGCAAAUCCGUUUCUUGCGGAGAGCCUUAAACGUCGCGGCCUGCCCCACCUGUUGCUCUGGUUCGAGAGCAAUGGCCCAAAACGGCACAUGCGGGAGACGC
rnacentral:other from 1 species